AUGCCUCGGCCAAGUGGUAGGGGUGUUCGUGGCCAUGUCCCUGGUCGUGGUGCUGAUUCUGGGAAUGCAGCCGCUGCUGUUGUCCCUGGUCAGGCUGCUGGUCCUAGGUUCACCGUCGCUCCUAGGCGUGUGGUGGUCCCUGGGAUUGCUAGACGUUACGUGCCACAUCAGCCUAUUGGGUGUCCUCCUCGAAGCUGUACAAGUGAUGGCUGGUUCCCUUUUCUGAGCUCGACCGUGGCUGUGGUAAAUCGCAGAAAACUGAAAAUGUGCGUUGAGUUUCGGCGCGCUCGAUAUGAAGAACAUGUCGUUGAUGGGCCUUUGCCGAAGGAUUGGCAUGGUUUUUCGGUUUAUGUGAGUUUGGAGGUGACUGGGGUAGACCGCAACAGACGGAAAAGACGGAAAGUGUCGAUUAAAUUGCGACGUCCUGGAUGCGAAGAGAUUGUUGUCCAAGGGCCUGUGCCGAAGGAUUGGCAAGGUUUCUCGGUCAAGUUUGCCGAGUCCCUUAAAGCUUGCUAUGCAGAUAGGUCGUACUACGGCCCUCCGGAUUUCUUGUGCCAAUACUGUGGUGCCUCCUUUUGGUUUGCUGAGUGUUCAAAGUCCAGGUCAUCCUGGACACAACGUAAGAUGGUUUAUAAUUUCUGUUGUAAAGGCGCUAAGUGUUGUAUACCGUUGAGUUCCAGAAGCGGGGACUGCCUCACACGCAUAUACUUGUCUGGCAGAGAGGGGGUAGCGAUGGCGAUGACUGAUCUGCAGGCUCUUCUUGUGGGGAACAAGAACCUGACCAUCCGUGUGUAUGUUUCGCGUCUGUAG
rnacentral:rRNA from 1 species